rnacentral:rRNA from 1 species
GAUGAACGCUGGCGGCGUGCCUAACACAUGCAAGUCGAGCGGCAGCGCGGGGUGCUUGCACCCUGUCGGCGAGCGGCGGACGGCUGAGUAACGCGUGGGAACGUGCCCCAAAGUGAGGAAUAACUGCCCGAAAGGGUAGCUAAUACCGCAUAUUAUCUUCGGAUCAAAGGAUUUAUCCGCUUUGGGAGCGGCUCGCGUCGGAUUAGGUAGUUGGUGAGGUAAUGGCUCACCAAGCCGACGAUCCGUAGCUGGUCUGAGAGGAUGACCAGCCAGACUGGAACUGAGACACGGUCCAGACUCGUACGGGAGGCAGCAGUGAGGAAUCUUACACAAUGGGCGAAAGCCUGAUGAAGCAACGCCGCGGGCAGGACGAAGGCCUUCGGGUUGUAAACUGCUUUUAUAAGUGAGGAAUAUGACGGUAACUUAUGAAUAAGGAUCGGCUAACUACGUG